rnacentral:tRNA from 1 species
GGGCUUAUAGUUCAGUUCGGAAGAACGCCUCGUCCGCAACGAGGAGGUCAUGAGUUCGAAUCUCAUUGAGUCCA